rnacentral:rRNA from 1 species
UACGUAGGGUGCAAGCGUUGUCCGGAAUCAUUGGGCGUAAAGCGCGCGUAGGUGGCUCUGUAAGUCCGUUGUGAAAGUCAAAGGCUCAACCUUUGAAUGCCGAUGGAUACUGCAGAGCUAGAGUACGGAAGAGGCGAGUGGAAUUCCUGGUGUAGCGGUGAAAUGCGCAGAUAUCAGGAGGAACACCGGUGGCGAAGGCGGGUCUCUGGGCCGAAAUUGACGCUGAGGAGCGAAAGCGUGGGGAGCAAACAGG